rnacentral:lncRNA from 1 species
ACGGCCCGCAAAUAUCUUGCCCCCAAAGCACGUCUGUGUCAUUGGACUGUGAGGAGGAAGGGGAGAAGGUAUUCUGACUGCAGUAAAAUAAGCAGGUCUGUUGGCUGGAUGCCUAAGCAGCACUACAUAUAGAACAUGAGUGUUAAGGACUGAAUUUGUCCCCACUCCCAAAGACAUUGAAGACCUAACCUCCAGCACCUGUGAAUGCGACCUAACUUGGAAAAACUGCGUCUUUACAGAUGUGGUCAAGACGAGAUCAUUGGGGUGGACCCUCCUAAUUCAACAUGACUGAUGUCCUUAUCACACGGUGUCAAAAUGCCACUUGAAGACAGAGACACACGAAAAUGUGGCGGGACAGGGGCAGAUCAGAGUGAUGCAGCUGUAAGCCCAGGAAUGCGGUGGAUUGCCGGCCACCACCGGAGAAAGGCUAGGAAGAGGCAAGGAAGGACCCUCCCCUGCAGAUUUCAGAGGGAGCUUGGUGUUUGGUUCUGCUGACACUUUGAUUUUGGACUUCUAGUCACAAGAAAUGUGAGACAAAACAUUUCUGUUAAGUCACCGAGUGCUUUGUUAAGGCAUCCCUAGGGAAUUAAUACAAGGACUGUGGGGACUUUCCCUCUGCCGUUCUGUGUAAAAUCUGGCCAUAAAGACAUUAUUUGACUUCCCUUGUUUGACUGUAGGUCAUAAGACCCCCAUUCCAGAGGGAGUCCUGUCCCAUACCCAGAAGGAAAGAGUGCAUGCUCAGAGAGGCCAAGAAGAAUCCAGACAGACAGGCCUUGCUGGGUUUUCUCCCUCUAUUAGUCUUAGAUCAUACACUUUUUGUCCGAUCACAUUUCUACGUCACUGCCCAUACUUUGUUGAACCUAGGCAUAAAAAUGGAUAAUUUCCCCUGUAUCUUUGGGUCUUCAUUUGAAGGAUCCCGGGUAUACACAUUAAAUACAUUUAUAUGCUUUUUCUCCAAUUAAUCUGCCUUUUGCAAGUUGAUUUUUUAGUGAACCUUAAGAGGGCAAAGGGAAAACUUUCCAUGUUGGCCCCUACAGAUUGCUCAGUGCAGCAAAUACUUAUUGAGUGCCUAUUCUAUGCCAGGUGCUGUGAUUGGUGUUGGAGGGUGUGAAGUUCAAUGAGAAACUGCCCCUGCACUAAAGUGAGGAAUAUAAAAUGAGAUUCACCCACUGAUAGAAGCCCAUGAAGAGUGCCAAGGGCACAGCAUAAAGCCACAAAGCCCAGCCUGCUAAGGCUACAGGAAAGGCUUCCAGAAGGAAGAGGUACCUAUUAGUACAAUGAGUGUAGCAUGACCAGCAGGAAACUCAUAUGCUGCAUGAAAUUUAGGAGAGGAAAGAAGCAAAGAGGCCAAGAGAGUUACAGAAAAAUCAUAGGAUAAUAGAGUGCAGGGGACUUUAAUAGGUCAUCUAGGAUUAUUCUCUGGUGGGUGGAGCUGGUCUUAGGGUGUUGUCAUGCAGAGUUGCCAUGAUGGUGCAAUGUAGGCUCCAUGAGAACUCUGUUUCCUUCUCUACUGAAUCCCCCGAAUUCAGUGUAAACGCCUAGAAUAUAUUUAGAUAAGGGGAAAAACUCCUUAUCUAAAUAUCCUUAUCAGAGGAAGAGAUUAUUCCCCCAAAGCAGUUCAAUAUUCAUACCAUAAAACUCUUCAAGGCUGAUAAUGGGGCAGUAGUGGGGUUUUAUCCCAGGCGGUAGCUUCCUUGGGUCACCUUGAGUGUGAAUUUAUUCCUGUAUUCCCAGUACCUGGCCUAGGGCUUUGCACAUUGUAAAUGCUUGAUAAAACCUACUGAAUUUCCUUUUCUUGCUGUCCAUUUGACUUGUCUUUCACACAUGUGGUGAACUACAGAUAUUCCCUGACUUACAAUGGUUUGAUUUAUGUUUUUUUUUUUUUUUUUUACUUUGUGAUGGUGCAAAAGCAAUACGUAGCUCAGUAGAAAGUGUGCUUCAAGUAUCCGUACAACCAUUCUGUUUUUCACUUUCGGUACAGUGUUCAAUAAAUUACAUGAGAUAUUCAACACUUUAUUCUAAAAUAGGUUUUGUGUUCAAUUGUUUUGUCUAACUGUAGUGUAAUGUAAGUGUCCUGAGCACAUGUGAAGUAGACUAGGCUAAUGGGAUAAUAGUAGACUGGGAUGUUCGGUAGGUAGGUGUAUUAAAUGCACUUUCAACUUACCAUAUUUUGAACUCACAGUGGGGUUAUCAGAACAUAAAUCCAUUAUAAGCUAAGGAGCAUCUAUGCUUGGAGAGUAGGAAUCCCAGGGCAUUGGGAGGCGUU